UACGUAGGGCGCAAGCAUUGUCCGGAAUUAUUGGGCGUAAAGAGCUCGUAGGCGGCUUGUCACGUCGGGUGUGAAAGCCCGGGGCUUAACCCCGGGUCUGCAUUCGAUACGGGCAGGCUGGAGUUCGGUAGGGGAGAUCGGAAUUCCUGGUGUAGCGGUGAAAUGCGUAGAUAUCAAGCGGAACACCAGUGGCGAAGGCGAGUCCCUGGACAACUCCUGACACUGAGGCACGAAAGCUAGGGGAGCAAACAGG
rnacentral:rRNA from 1 species